AUGAACGCUGGCGGCGUGCCUAACACAUGCAAGUCGAACGAUGAAACCGCCCUCGGGCGGACAUGAAGUGGCGAACGGGUGAGUAACACGUGACCAACCUGCCCCUUGCUCCGGGACAACCUUGGGAAACCGAGGCUAAUACCGGAUACUCCUCGCCCCCCUCCUGGGGGGCCCGGGAAAGCCCAGACGGCAAGGGAUGGGGUCGCGGCCCAUUAGGUAGUAGGCGGGGUAACGGCCCACCUAGCCCGCGAUGGGUAGCCGGGUUGAGAGACCGACCGGCCACAUUGGGACUGAGAUACGGCCCAGACUCCUACGGGAGGCAGCAGUGGGGAAUUUUGCGCAAUGGGGGAAACCCUGACGCAGCAACGCCGCGUGCGGGACGACGGCCUUCGGGUUGUAAACCGCUUUCAGCAGGGAAGAAAUUCGACGGUACCUGCAGAAGAAGCUCCGGCUAACUACGUGCCAGCAGCCGCGGUAAUACGUAGGGAGCGAGCGUUAUCCGGAUUCAUUGGGCGUAAAGAGCGCGUAGGCGGCCUCUCAAGCGGGAUCUCUAAUCCGAGGGCUCAACCCCCGGCCGGAUCCCGAACUGGGAGGCUCGAGUUCGGUAGAGGCAGGCGGAAUUCCCGGUGUAGCGGUGGAAUGCGCAGAUAUCGGGAAGAACACCGAUGGCGAAGGCAGCCUGCUGGGCCGCAACUGACGCUGAGGCGCGAAAGCUAGGGGAGCGAACAGGAUUAGAUACCCUGGUAGUCCUAGCCGUAAACGAUGGAUACUAGGUGUGGGGGGCUCCGCCCUCCGUGCCGCAGCCAACGCAUUAAGUAUCCCGCCUGGGGAGUACGGCCGCAAGGCUAAAACUCAAAGGAAUUGACGGGGGCCCGCACAAGCAGCGGAGCAUGUGGCUUAAUUCGAAGCAACGCGAAGAACCUUACCAGGUCUUGACAUCCAACUAACGAAGUAGAGAUACAUUAGGUGCCCUUCGGGGAAAGUUGAGACAGGUGGUGCAUGGUUGUCGUCAGCUCGUGUCGUGAGAUGUUGGGUUAAGUCCCGCAACGAGCGCAACCCUUGCUAUUAGUUGCUACGCAAGAGCACUCUAAUAGGACUGCCGUUGACAAAACGGAGGAAGGUGGGGACGACGUCAAGUCAUCAUGCCCUUUAUGCCCUGGGCUGCACACGUGCUACAAUGGCCGGUACAACGGGCUGCGAGACCGCGAGGUCGAGCGUAUCCCUCAAAGCCGGCCCCAGUUCGGAUCGGAGGCUGCAACCCGCCUCCGUGAAGUCGGAGUUGCUAGUAAUCGCGGAUCAGCAUGCCGCGGUGAAUACGUUCCCGGGCCUUGUACACACCGCCCGUCACACCACCCGAGUCGUCUGCACCCGAAGCCGCCGGCCGAACCCGCAAGGGGCGGAGGCGUCGAAGGUGUGGAGGGUAAGGGGGGUG
rnacentral:rRNA from 1 species